GCUGGAGAUCCCUACAUAACUGAGGCCUUCCAAAGCCUUUCCAUUUUUGGAGCAAGAAGAAAAUAAGAUCUCAGUUCUUCAUACUCAGGAGCAAUACAGCCUCGUGGAAGAGUGAGGUUUCCUCCUGGAGCUGGGAUGAUUCCUGGACUUGCCCAGCCCUUCACAAGAGCCAGGCUACAUAAGAUGGUACAUGCAGGAGAACGAGCAGCUUUCUAUAAAUGCCAGAAAUGUGCAUCUCAUCUGGUCUUGUUCUGAGAGCAAGCACAACCACCUGCUGAUGGCUGCUAAUGAUGAGAAUGAGGCUGCAUGCAGCCAUGGCUGAGCUAAGCCAGUAUUUGAGAGGGGAAAUUGCUGGCAGAACCAUUUGCGUUCUGGUGGUGAGGACCUCAUGUCCCAAAGUGCCAGUGACUCAUUCUUAGAUCUCAAACAACAAAUGCGUUGCCCGGUGCUAUCAUGACAGAUGCAGCAGAAACCACUGGGGACUCUUUUCUUUGCCUAAUGAAAGUAAAGUAUUUAAUCAAGAGAGACCAAAUGGAUUAUUGGAACUUCACUGUACUGCUUCUGGGACUUGUGCUGAACAACUUUCAUCAGGACUUACACCAGCACUUCAAUGGUUGGGUCUGCUGAGCCCACAAAGUUCCCCAAACUGCAGCGAACACCUCAAAACUGGAGUGCUAUGGGCAGCAAUGCCAUAGGCUGGGCUGGCAGGGCAUUCUUCCUAACUCAACCAUACCAAACACAGAUUGGCCAUACUGGGGGAGUACAUCAUGGGGAACUGGUGUCUCGAUACAGGCAAUGAAGAUAUGAAUUUGCCCCUCCCACACAAAGUGACAACAAAAAGCCAUCAGCCUUGGUUUCCAAGAUGAGUUUUCUCUUUGUGAUUCAGCCUCGAGCAGAUCUGUAGAUAACCCUAUAGCCUGAGGAAGAGGAGCUUCUGCAAACGUGACUGAAGGAAGCCCCCAUACAAGCACUGACCAUGUCUUAACCAAGGUCAGUAACAGUGCCACAGUGAAUUGAGCUUUAAGGAAAAAAAAUGCCUUUUAUUUUUAAUUGUUAUUUAAAGAAAGGUGGAUAGUUCCUAUUGAUUUUCUUUACUCAGGAUUUUU
ensembl:lncRNA